UACAUACUUCCUCCGUCCAACAAAGGAUGUCUCAACUUGGAUUAAAUUUAAAUGCAUCUAUACACUAAGUCAUGUCUAGAUACAUUCAAAUUUUGACAAACUUGAGACAUCUUUUCUUGGACGGAGGGAGUAUCAU
rfam:Brachypodium distachyon strain Bd21 chromosome 1, whole genome shotgun sequence.